rnacentral:lncRNA from 1 species
CCCUUCCUUUUUCCUACUCAUCUCCCAAUUUUUCCUUUUCCUUGUAGCCGCAACGUGUAGCAGGGACACAUUAGGAGCGAGCGCCUCUUUUUGCGUCCUCGCUAGAUCCUCCCAGCAGCAAAUCGCUGUAUCCACCACGCCCUUUUCCAGCAGAGUACGGGAGUCAAAUGCUGCUGGCCCCUGAUCUAGGACCAGACCUGCAGCCGGCGCUUGAUAUGGUAGCAUGAAUAGUGCAGGAGCUAGCAAAGCUGUCACUCGCCGUAUGGAACACCAACGUGGGAAGGUGGAAGCACAAAUAGAAGCUGCUCUUUCUUCCUCGCCCACGACGGAUCAAGCGUCUCGGUCAUUGGCUUGGCAGCGAUGCAACACAUCGUCUCACCAGCACAACUUCUCCCCAUCGGCACAGGUUCGGCGACGCCCCCCUUUCCAUGUCGGUAUUACAUCGGUCUCUGGUGCAGCGGUGCGCGUUCUGGUUCUUUUUUUCCGCUUGCAAAAAAUAAGCUUUCUAAGCACAAGACUCUUUAGCUUACUGAAAACUGUCUUACCCACAAAACUUCUUGCAGAUAUCUAAAAACGAACUGAUAGGACAACUUCAUAAUCUUACAGGUUUAUAACUUAGGGCCUGCUAUUUGUCACGCUUCAUUCCUCUGCAUGCGAGUUGCAUUUGGGCCUCCUGAGAGCCAAUUAAAGACUGCGUAGGCUUUCAUUUCGAUUCCCACUGACUAAUGGUUUCUUGACCUGUGUUUCUUUUCUCAUAUUAUUGGCUGGUUGCAUGACAAUUGCUCUUAGUGACUUUCUUUCGUUUAAGUUUGAUUUAGUAUUUGUAGGGAUGCAUCUGUAUGAGGAGUUUCAUCAUUAAUUGGUGUGGUUUGGUUCAGAAAAAAAUAUGACAAGUGUGCAUGCGACAAUGGGUGGACUAUGCAGGAUUUUUUAUUUUGUUUUAUUUUAUUUAUGGCCAAUGAGGACUGUUGAUUGCUGCUACUGAUCAUGGUGGUGACAAGACUCAUGCAUGGUUGUAAGCUAUGCAGUAAUAUAUGCGUAUUCUCAGUGUAUGUAAGCAGCUGCAUGUUGAACACUUGGUCUGUGUAGUCGGAGCAGCUAAUUUCUGAAUGUAAAAAAAUACAGUGUCAACUGUCAAGAGUAAAUGAGUACUUUGUGACAAUGCCAGACUCCUUUGAACUAUGGGUGACUGGUUUAUUGCUAUUGGCUUACUAUGGGUGACUAGAUGUACCAUUUCCUGGUUUGUGUUACUUUGCCACGAAUAAAGUCUUGGGACAUCUUACCAAAUAAUAAUAUUGUAAAAAAAACUAAAUAGCUAUUUAAUCCAUGUGACCCGCUAGCUACUUACUGCUGUACUAUGUAUUAGUGCAAAUAAUAACUAUUUGAUGGUUGAAAAUAUUUGUGACUCAAAAUAUAAUGGGUUGACAACAGAGCUACCUGCAGGUCAGGGAAACAUGAGGGUACAGUUCUGGGUUCAUGCUAGAUACGUAGUACUAUCUUAAUCAAUAUUCUUGAUUUAAGAGUAACGCUGAUCUGUUUCAGUUAUUACUGAAUUUAGGAACUCUUGGUUUAAGAGUACAGAGUGACACUGAUAUGUUUCAGUUAUUACUGAAUUUAGGAACAUCUUUGUAUGUCCCUGUUGUUGAUAUAACAAGGCCUGGUAUAGUGGUAUGUUUCAAUAUAUUCCAAUAUUCUACAUGGUGCUCCUGUACUAUUGGUUUAGACACUGAUGAUAAUUUCAGGCUUAUGCGUCGCUAUAUUUUCUUUUGACGUUGUGUACUGAAGAAAAAUUGAUGAACUUUCUAUAGCCAAGAGUAUACUUGCUUCAGGACUAAAAUUUGAUGGAUUGUGUCCUUUUUCCUUUGCACUCGAGGACCAAGACACUGGGUAAUAUGGGAGCAAAUGUGCUAACUGAAGCACAUGUAUGCAAUACCAAUCUGUAUUUUUACAUGACAAGCAUUGAUAUGAAAUAGGCACCUAACAAAACACAGACUACUAUUAUUGCUCCUCUAUUAUCUUUUGGGCUGCUCAAAUGUAGUUGGUUUUCACUGGUCUCAAUUUCAACUGCGAAGAUGCAAGUAGUGUGCAAUGUGCACUGUAUCCACUUGACACCUGCAACGAAUCAAUCGAUAGAGCAUAGAACUGUAUAUGGGCCAAAAAAUACCUCAGUAAACAAGUAGAAAUUUUCUUCAACCGGCUUCUCCUCAAAGCUCUCCACCUUUUUCCUUGGGCAUGACUCCAUGUCCUGAAAAAAACAGCAGAAUCGACACAAUAACUUCGAUCUGGAAGGUGGAAUGUAUUUGCUCAUACCGAUGGAGGAUCCUGAUCUUUUUGAGACACAGGACCGUUGCCUUGGUACACUAGCUCCUUCAUGUCUUAGGAGUGGCAUACAAGAUGUGGUAGUCCAUGAUGGAUUCUCCAGAAAUACAAGGGUCCCGAGGAAGACCUGCCUGCAGUAUCCUAAUUUCAUUCCGCCAUGAGCUAGGAAGCGUCUACCCUAACCUGACAAGGCGUCAACCGCAAUUGCCUUAAUCAUCUACGCUAGAAACAAGCUUGCGAAAGACAAAAGGAAGGAAUUGUCCUCUACUCCACCACUACAUCCUUGAGACCAAUUCUAUGUAUCGCAAUAUAGACUCUAUCUAGAGACUACUACUGCAGAACUAUUCUCACACUUACUAUAAAGAUACACACAUACACAAUGCGGACGAGGCUCCUCUGCCGUUCGGCAGGGUGCCGUUCCAUCCCUGACAGGUGGGCUCAUUGAAAAACAGGCCCACAUGGCAGUGCCACAACUGCAGGUGAUGUACGUCAGGGGAGCCGCUUCCACACAAUGCACAAUGAGUUCUGAAAAACUCAAUAAAAACAUAUCACACAUGAAUCAAUAGGGCGCUGCGUGCCGCCGCGCACUACCUACUAGUUUGGUCUAUGUAACUUUGUAGUCUGCCAAUAUCAAUAACUUUGUGCUAGCUAAGAGCAUCUCCAGCCGUUGGCCCUCGCCUAAAAUCGCCCCUUAGGGUGAGCCGGCGUAAAAAAUCAGUCUGGGGACGAGUUGGUCCCCAGCCGCCGGCUCCAGGGCCGUUCCAGGCGUGUUCAAAAUUAGCCCCAGGACCAUCCCAGAUGCGUUCAAAAAAAUUAAAAAAUAUAGCAAAGUUCAAAGUUAAGCAUAUAUUACAUUAAAAAAAGCGGGUUUUUAUUACGUAAUAUAUAUAAUUAAAAAAGGAACUGGCUAAAUGUGAGUCGUCGUCGUCCGGCUUCUUCUUAACGCGGCCGUUCCUAGUGGACUCCCGACCGGCGUCGCCUAUGCGGACUGGUGUCGGCGGCGCGGCGCCGUCGUCGCUGUCUUCGAUGAUGACGAUUCCUCCUUCAUCGCGACCUCGGCGGCGCUGCGCGAAUCGCCGCAGGGCGGCGCACUGGCGUUCCCUCGCCAUCUUCAGGGAGUCCGCGCGCGCCCAUUCUAAGGCCGCGUCGUCAUCGAACUCAACGUCACCGCCGUGCUCCGUCUUCACCAGCGCCAGGUCCGGCUCCGUCUUAGGCUUGACGAAGCGCGAAGGAGCCGACGAGGAGGCGAGACGACCGCCCUCAUUGAUGACGAUGCUGGCGCUGCGAGUGCGCCGGCCGAGCGGCGUCUCCGCCGCGGGCUCGGCCUUGACGCCGAGCAGCGCCGGACGAAUGUGAGGAAAAGCGAGAGGAGGAGGAAGAAGCGGAGGCGCCGAACCUCCUGGGCAAUCAUUGCCCAUCGCGUCGGCGGUGAGCCGUGGCCGUGGCGGCCGCCCUCGCCGGUGGGUAUGCCAACGGCGGAUCAUUGCCGCCCCCAAGGUACGUCAGAACGCCCUCGAGGGUGCGGCCGGGGACACCCCACCACAGGUGGAGUCCCUCGCUGUUCUUCAGGCCGGCCACCACCGGCGCGCCGUUGGUGGACGCCAUCCUCUGCUGCUGUCGGCGCUGGAAGUACGCCGUACACGCCGCUAUGUUAUCAGCGGCGUACUCAGGGAGGACGAGCUGGGCGUCGGUGAGGGAGGCGCGCACGACGUCGACCUUGUCGGCGAAGUAGCUCGGUUUUGCCACGACGUCAGGCAACGGGGGAAUGGGCACUCCCCCGUUGCUGAGUCUCCACCCCGUUGGCUCGGCGCACAUGUCCGGCGGCGCCGAGAUAUUCGCCUGGAACAGGAGUCAAGACUCCUGUUCGCGGAGCGAGCGGCGGCCGAAGCCGUUGGCCGCGGCCUUAUCUCUGGGGAAUCGCUCGGUCAUCGGGAGAGGGAGGGCUCGACGGUGGCGCUCGGGAGAGGGAGGGCUCGGCGGCGGCUCUCGGGAGAGGUAGAGAACGGAUUAGGGCUGGUGUGGCUGGUGUGGCCAGAGGCGAGGGAGUCCACCGACUUAUAUAGCGGCGCGGUCCCGUGUGUACGCGUGCGAGGGAGAAGAGGCGUCGGCGCGCCGCCCCGUGACGCGCCCCUCGUGAGGAAUCAAUGAUAAGGCUGACCGGCGGCAGCCUUGCCAUUGAUUUCUCGCAGGAAACCGAGGCUUUUGGGGAAAACGACGCGCGGUGUCGCUGACGCGGCGGGCUCGUGGCUUUUUGGCGUUAAAACCGCUCGCCUCGACGCCCGCGAGCGCCCCAGUGCGCCGGGUUUGGUCUGGGUCCGCCGACGCUAAAUUUCGCACAGGCCAGUGAAAAUCGGACUCCUAGAGAUGCGACUGGGUUAAUUUUUUUGUGCCGGCGUAAAAAAAAUACCAGGAAAGGCCUUUCUUGGGGCACGGAUGAAGAUGGCUCUAACUGGCUCUGUUUUGGCUGCCGCGUCUGCCUCUGGUAAAAGAGAUAAAAAUGUUCUGCAACUUCCCCUGGCAUCUAUCGUCUUAUCUUGCGGCUUGGGCGUGUUGUCGUCGACGCGAGCUGCGGGGUGAGGAAGCCAGGAACAGGAUCAUGUGCUCCUGUGUUCCUCGGUGUGUGCGCUUGGGGCUUGGGCCAUAUAGAAUUCUACUGUACUCUACUAGACGGGACUGGGAGCCCACGACUGUGGGUCCGAUUCUGUUGAGCGAGAUCGAACUACCGUGGGGCACGUUCAGGGACUGAGAUCCCGUGCCCCGCUCAAGGCAGGGCACGCUGUGCCUAAGGCCCACGAUCCACCAUCCACUCCCUAUCUGACGGACUGCAACGAGUCAACUUAAAAUUGGACCAGUCCGCUCGAUCCUUCCUCUUUCUCACGCACGCGAUGCACGAUGCGCGGCUCGUACUCGCCCUUGCCGAGCCCCAUCGAGCGGAGGAGCUCCCGAAUCACCCGCGCGUCCCGAGGUUCGUCCGCGGCGGAGGCACCCGCCACCGCUGCCAUCCGCCACCGCCGUCCAUGGUUCGCUGGCGUCCCCUUCCUCUGUUCCACGAGGCGAGCUGUUGGUCCUGUCGCCGAGGGGAAGGGAGACAAGCUGCUCCGGCUGCUCCUCCAGGACAUGAGGAAACGACCUCGACGGCCGACCACCUCUGGCUGUUUUGUCCGCCUGCCCUCUGGCGGCUGCAUCCGCACGUUCCGACGGCCCGUCCGCCCGCCCGCUCGGACUGCCACGGGCGCCCUGGACGGAAGCAGCGAGGACAUGUCUGUACUACACACGAACAACAAAUUCAGUUAGCAGUUAGCAUUGGACAACUCCAGGAUACAAAAUUCAGUAAAAUGAAAAUAGAGACAUCAUCAAUAAAGUGUUUAAUCUGCAGAAUUUAGUACCGAAAAUGAACUGAAGAAGAGUUGAACCGAGGCAUUCAUUAUACAAUCAAUUAGAAAAUAAAAUCAAAAUGAAUUGAACAAUGUACAAACUUUGAGCAUUAGUAACUCAAAUUUGGCAACAACAAUCUGUUCUUACAUAAUCCUUGAAGUACAUAAAUUAGGCCAAUUUACUCGCACACUUAGGCCACGAAAGACUAUAGUCAGCCUCCAAAAUCCAAAAUACUAUAGUCAUCUUUGUCCAAAGUACUAGUCAAAAUGUCCAAAAUACUAUCUAACAAGCUUGUACAUGUUAGAACAGAUCUUCAUCAUAAACACCACCUGGGGGAGCCAUCAACAGUUGUGUGUAACUGGCAUUUGCUUGAGGCUGUACACCAUCAUCCUUCCCCACUCUUACUUGAGGCUGUGCACCAUCAUUUUUCUUUUGUUGCUACUAUAAAAAUUCCAGUAUUUAGUCUAGGAAUGAGUGGUAACAAUAUAUCAUGUAUAGAUGGGAACAUACCUUUGCUGCUCUUUUUGGAUGAGGCACCUUUAGUUAGUUUGCGCUUCCCCCUGAGUUACUUAUCAAACCAACCUCUCUUUCUCCUCAAGUUUUUUGAAUGAACCUCUUUUUUCUUGAUCCGUAUAGAUAGUUCUAGGUUGCCUCCCAUUAUGUGUAGCUAGAAAAGUCUCAAAAAGCCAUGUAAAUGAGUCACAUGUUUCAUCAAAUAGCAAGGCUGCACCAAAAAUGGUGGUUUCUCUAAACUGAUUGAGUCCAAAAAAAACACCAAAUGGCCUAUAUUCUUUAUUUGUGCCAAAUGUUAUAUCAAAUGUGACAACAUCACCAAAGUGUGCAUAAUCAAGAACCAUUUUAGCAUUAGCCCAGAAUGUGUUGGCUAUAUCUUCCUCACAAUCCAACUGUAAAGGAUAUUGAAAAGAUGGGUUUUCAAUCAUUUUGUCAUGAAAAUACUUCAACAUACUACCGGCUUGACUGAAAGCCAACUCUCUUUGCCGCUUGCUUCGCAAAUAAUUCUUUUGAUCACGACAAGUGUAGCCGAGAUUAAAUGGUCCACCAACUCGUGCCGUUCAUAAAAUAGCGAUAAUACUACACGUACGGGCUUUCACGGACUAGACUGCAUGCCCUACUCUAAUUGGCCCUCCGAUUUUAAAUGGUGGGCCCGCCUCACAUAAACCAAAUCUCAGCCAAUCAAAUUUAACCACUCCGUAAAUCCGCCUGUAAAAGUCUGUGUCUAGUGUUGCUCGUAAAAUAAUACUAGCAUAUUAGGCCUUGUACAAUGGUAGGUGCUUAGGGAGGUGCUUAGAAAGAUAAACCAGAUUUUUCUGAAGCACCAGUGCUUAUUUCUAUAUGAGAGACGCUUAGGGCAUGUACAAUGAUGCUAUCUUAGGAGUGCCACGUAGGAUAAAUGAUGAGAUGGAGAAGAGAGAACUCAUAAGAGAAGGCUUGUCUUCUCUUAUUUAAGAUAUGACAAGAGAUGAUCUCUUAGCGCAAUAUGUCUCACCACAUUUUUAGGAAUUGCUAGUUAUUGAAGAUAAGGCUAAGAGAUGACUCAUUGUUGACAUUUUUUUUGUCAUCUCUAAAUUACAUGUAAAACUUAAGAUAAGACUAUCUUAUCAACCAUUGUACAUGCCCUUAGUUAAGUGUCUACCCUGUACAAAUUGGCACUGGUGCUUACGGAAAGUCUGGUUUAUUUCUCUAAGCAUCUCCCCUAAGCACCUACAUUGUACAAGGCCUUAGCGUCCUACGUACAGGGUACUCGUACGAUCGUAGGUAAUGUACAUGGGAGAUUGUAUUGUAUAGUCGUGCGGUUGAGAUAAUAUUGCAGUGAUCCGCAAAAAAGAGAUAAUAUUGCAGUGCAAGUGAGUAAGUUCAAUUAAAUUACACAUAGCCAGUGCGGCGAUGAGUAUCAUCUUUAGAAUUGCAACAAAAAAAGUACUCACUGCGUUUCAAAUUACUUGUCACAGAAAUGGAUGUAUCUAGAAUUAAAAUACAUCUAAAUACAUCCAUACCUGCGACAAGUAAUUCGGAACGGAGGGAGUACGUUUUUAAAUUUUACACACAGGAAUCAAUACUUUUGAGUCGAGUUGUGACUCUACAUAUGAGGUGGUGGGCAUGGACUCUACUCGGUACAACUUUGUGUCAGCCGUAGGAGACGGCACCAUUAAGUGGCGGGGUUGAGAGCGAUAACUUUUCUGUUUUAUUACUACCCCAGGCAGCAGAGGCGGGGUUGAGAGCGGCAGCUCCUAGUUCUACCCCGGGCAAAGUCCCCAUAGUUAAAAGGAGAAGGCAGUGGGAGGGGUUGAUAUGGAAACUUCAAAUGAGGCGGUCCUCCAUUGAUGAUGAUGAAGUUUAUAUGAAAACUUCAAAUGAGGCGGCCUCCGAGAUGGAUGACCGCUGGGCCCAAUGAAUUGUCUAAGUUGACGUUGUCGGGGAGGGGGGAAUAUCCGGACAGUUCGAGAGUUAGCGACUUGUGCUAGUGGUCUGUGUUCAUGAAGGUGUUGAAGGAAAUAUGUUCUAGAGACAAUAAUAAAGUUAUUAUUUUAUAUUUUCUUAUUCAUGAUAAAGGUUUAUUAUUUAUGCUAGAAUUGUAUUGAUCGGAAACUUAAAUACAUGUGUGAAUACAUAAACAAAUAUCGUGUUCCUAGUAAGGCUUUACUAAACUAGCUCGUUGAUCAAAGAUGGUUAAGAUCUCAUAACCAUAGACAUGUGUUGUCAUUUGAUACCGGGAUCACAUCAUUAGGAGAAUGAUGUGAUGGACAAGACCCAUCCGUUAGCUUAGCAUAUUGACCGUUCAGUUUAUUGCUAUUGCUUUCUUAAUGUCAAAUACAUAUUUCUUCGACUAUGAGAUUAUGCAACUCCCAGAUACCGUAAGAAUACCUUGUGUGCUGUCAAACGGCACAGCGUAACUGGGUGAUCAUAAAGAUGCUCUACAGGUAUUUCCAAAGGUGUUUGUUGAGUUGGCAUAGAUCGAGAUUAUGAUUCGUUACUCCGAGUAUCGGAGAGGUAUCUCGGGACCUCUCGGUAAUACACAUCAUAAGAAGCCUUGCAAGCAAAGUGACUAAUGAGUUAGUUUCAGGAUGAUGUAUUACGGAACGAGUAAAAAGACUUGUCAGUAACGAGAUUGAACCAGGUAUGAAGAUACCGACGAUCGAAUCUCAGGCAAGUAACAUACCGAUAGAUAAAGGGAAUUAUGUAUGUUGUCAUAAUGGUUCGACCGAUAAAGAUCUUCAUAGAAUAUGUAGGAGCCAAUAUAGGCAUCCAGGUUCCGCUAUUUGUUAUUGACUGGAGAGGUGUCUCGGUCAUGUCUACAUAGUUCUCGAACCCAUAAGGUCCGCACGCUUAACGUUCGUUGAUAUAGUGUUAUAUGAUUUGAUGACCGAAUGUUGUUCGGUGUCCCGGGUGAGAUCAAAGACGUGACGAGAAGUCUCCAAAUGGUCGAGAGGUAAAGAUUGAUAUAUAGAAUGAUGGUAUUCGGACACCGAAAGAGUUCCGGGAUGCACCGGGGAGCUAUCGGGUCACCGAAAAGGGUUCCGGACACCCCCAGUGGGUGUAUGGGCUUAACGGGUGUCGGUGUCAAAAACGGCGGAUCUCGGGUAGGGGGUCCCGAACUGUGCGUCUAAGGCGGAUGGUAACAGGAGGCAGGGGACACGAUGUUUUACCCAGGUUCGGGCCCUCUUGAUGGAGGUAAAACCCUACGCCCUGCUUGAUUAUUCUUGAUAAUAUGAGUAGUACAAGAUCAGAUCUACCACGAGAUCGGAGAGGCUAAACCCUAGAAGCUAGCCUAUGGUAUGAUUGUAUGUUGCCUAUGGACUAAAACCCUCCGGUUUAUAUAGACACCGAAGGGGGCUAGGGUUACACAAGCUCGGUUACAAAGGAGGAGAUAUACAUAUCCGUAUUGCCUAGCUUGCCUUCCACGCCAAGGAGAGUCCCAUCCGGACACGGAACGAAGUCUUCAAUCUUGUAUCUUCAUAGUCCAACAGUCCGGCCAGAGGAUAUAGUCUGGCUGUCUGGAGACCCCUAAUCCAGGACUCCCUUAGUAGCCCCUGAACCAAGCUUCAAUGACGAUGAGUCCGGCGCGCAGUGUUGUCUUCGGCAUUGCAAGGCGGGUUCCUCCUCCGAAUACACCACAAAAGAGUUUGAAUACAAGGAUAGUGUCCAACCCUGCAAAAUAAGUUCCACAUACCACUGUAGAGAGAAUAAUAUUUCCACAAAUCUAAUCUGCUGACACGUUUUGGCAGCAUGACAUCACGCCACGGCCCGGUAAUUGUUCGAACCGUUUCUCUUUAACCAGCCCCGCACAUAACGCGAGGCGAUUUCUUGACACAUCUUGUCAAAGCAGAGAUCGUGUUCCCCUUAUUACGGGAUUCCCAUCAAUACGGGCGUGGGUAACCCAACCGCGCCACCAAUUACGACGCUUGGGGGAUAAGCGAGUUUUACCAGGCUAGUGGGGGCGCAUAGUUUCAUCCGCCCUUAUAAAGGGAUAAUGUCUCACCUUUUUCUACCCACGCCUUCUUCCUCAUUGCUCAUCCAUUCUCGCGCACUCGAGCUCCAACGCCCAAGUCCACAUCCUUCUCCUCAACUCUCUCCAAACAUGUCCGAGGCGGGAGGCAAGUGGAUGGCCUCCUCCGUCACGGAGGGACACAUCAAAAAGCUACGUGGAGCCGGAUACUUAGCCGCGGAUAUCGCGCACCGGCUGUCAGCCGCGGGGCAGGUCGUCCCUACCCCGGAACCUCACGAAAGGGUGGUUUUCCUUCCCCACUUCGUCCGCGGACUGGGGUUUCCCCUCCAUCCAUUCGUCUGCGGCCUCAUGUUCUAUUAUGGGCUGGACUUUCAUGAUCUGGCCCCGAAUUUCAUCCUCAACAUCUCGGCGUUCAUUGUCGUGUGCGAGGCUUUCCUGCGCAUCCGGCCCCACUUCGGCAUGUGGCUGAAGACCUUCAAUAUCAAACCGAAGGUGGUGGGCGGCCAACAAGCGGAAUGCGGCAUAGCCAUGGUGGGCAAAAUGCCCAACGUUAUAUGGAUCGAGGGCUCCUUCAUGGAGACCAUAAAGGGGUGGCAAUUGGGGUGGUUCUACGUCACCGAGCCGCGUGACACCAACUGGGUGGCGGCCCCCCGAGUUUCGAUCCGGAAUCCCCACAUGGCUCACUUCCUGGAAGGAGAAGGGCAUGUCCUGGGUUUCAUCGGUGGAGCUGGACGGACUCCAGAAGUGUAUCCGGAACAUGACAAGCAAGAAACUUAAGCUUGUCAACAUAGUCCAGGUCAUGCUCUUCCGCCGGAUCCUCCCGUGUCAACAACGGGAUUUCAACUUAUGGGAGUUCGACCCGGCCCAGCACCAGACUCUAAGCAAGCUCUUCGACACGACGCAUAAAGACAUCUGGAGGGUGCUGUUCAAGGGUGAUGAGGUCCCUCCUUCUCUUACCGAGGACCGCGGGCUAAGCGCGAAGCGUUCUGCGAAUCCGGUAAGUUCUGUACAUCUGGUAGGGUGUUUAUUUCCCAUAGCUUAACCAUGUGCGGGGUCUGAGCUCCCAUGCCUUUGACAAGACUGGGUGGAGACAUCGAAGCAGAUUAACUGUCCGGCCCCUCUGCCCGAAGACCCCGUAGACGCUCUCCUGACGAAGAUGCGGACUUCGGCUCCUUAUGAGGUGCUGGAGAAGACCAAGAAGAAGGCCAAGGGAACCCGAAAGAGUUCCCGGUGCCAGGUGGUAUCGGACUCAUCGUCUGAUACCUCCGAGGCACACUCCUCCCAUGAAAACGAGGAGCAGGAAGAUGAAGAUUCUCCCCCUCCAGCCGGGGGAGACAAGAAAAGGAAGGCCGCCCAACCGGGGAGGCCGAAGGGUCCAAGAAGGGAAGGACUCUCCUUCCGGACUGCUCCACCACCGCCGCCGACGGCGAAGACAAGUGGCUGCUCAGGGCCAAGCCCCUGGCGAAGUCGUAAGUAUUCGGAUACCAAAGUAACUCAUAGCAUACCUUUGUCGCACUGCUUCUCCUAACAUCGAAUAUGAUUAUGCAGUCCGCCCCAAGCCCAUAUCGAUGUAUCAUCGUCGGACGGUUCCUUGGACUCGUCGGACAUGAAUAGUGAUACACUUCCAACCGCCUCCUCUCCUUGCCCUACGGACAAUGCCGAGGUAUUGUCUCAAGGGGCACCGAGCCGGGGGGAGACAGUCCCAGAGGCGCCUCAAGGCGAGCUUCCGGACUCCAGGAGCAAAGGGAGCAAGGCUCCCGGGGGCUCCAAGUUCGGCUCUGAGCCGAACACCGCGCCGGAACCUCCAGUGGUUCCGGACUCGGGCAGGCGGCCCCCUUCCAAAAGGGGCAAGCCGCCCGUGCCGGUGACCUCUGUCCAUCCAGAGGCAUCGGACAACCUGCUAGGAGCGCUUAACGGCGGUUCCAUCGACGAAGAGCACCACACUAUUAUGAGUGCGGUGAUCAAGAAGGUUCAGUCCGCCAAGAGCAGACUGACUGAAGCCUGUGCGAGCCUUCUAACAGGUUUUGAGGUAAGUAUUUAAAAUAUAGGAAAAAUAUUACCGCAUAGAUAGUAGCCCCUGAUGCUCUGUUUGGUGUUCACAAAGAAAAGCUGAAUAGAGGAUCAAAUAAUAUCUGCAGAAGUCUAAUAUAAGUAUGUCUGUAUGCGUACGCAGGCUUCGCUGCUGACCUCUGCCGCACUGACUGCGGAGGUCGCCGCAUUGAAGCAGGACCUCGAGGGGUCCGAGAAAGAGCUCGGCCUUGCCAAGAGGCAGCUCGAGGAGAACAUAGGUAAGUAAGACCUUGUCUAUAUAUAAAAGAAAAUGUGGUUGCAAAAUGACAGGAUCAUCAUGAAUGUGCCAGGGGCCACGACCGAAGUGGCGACCCUGAAGCAAGCGCUGUCCGAGGCCGAAAACAAAGCGGCCAAGGAGCGCACCGAGCGGGAAAAGCAAGAGGCACGGGUGGGCGAGGUGCAGCAAGAGCUCCAGGCUCUCGUGAUGAAGCACGAGGCUUUGGAGCUUGACUCAAAGACGCGAGAGUCCGAGCUUGCCAUGGCCCUUGAGAACACAAAGAAUGCCAAGGCUGAAGCCCAAAAGGCCCUCCAGGAAAUUGAGGCGAUGAGGAAGAUAGCGGCGGGUAAGGCAUUCAAUAUGCAAAGCAAGCAUGUGAAAGUGAAUUACUUGUUACUUACCCAAGUCCGGAGCUCUCCAGGAGCAUUCGCAGAUUUGCCCCGCAGCGUGUCGGAUGCCGCGAAUUAUUACCAGGCCGAGGAGGGAAGCUCGACGGAGAAGUUGUUCUGGUCUCAGUAUAUUGGGACCGAACACCCGAUGCCUAUGAGCGACCAACUGAAGCAACUGGUCGAGCUGCACAAGGCGGCCGAACAGGCCAUGAAGGGCUUUAUAGUCCGAAUGUGGCCUCGCGACUCCCUUCCCAACAGCUACUUCAGCCUGGUGAGGCGGUUUGUGGAUGCCUGCCCACGGCUGGAAGUCAUCAAGCGGUCCGUCUGUAUCGAAGGUGCCCGUCGGGCUUUUGCCCGUGCAAAGGUGCACUGGGCCAAGAUGGACGCUGAGAAGCUGGUGAAGGAGGGGCCGCCGCAGGGCAAGGAGCAUCGCCACCCCGAAAUGUAUUAUGAGGGUGUCCUGAAGGGCGCCCGUCUUGUGGUGGACGAGUGUGCGAAGGAUGUAAUUUUUGAAUGAACUUGCUCGUGUGAUCCUAUAUUAUUAAAACUUGUUCAUAUGCGCUAUGCAACGCUUGUUUGAAUUUAAAAUAUUACCUUCUGUGCGGCUGUUUAUCAAAUCUGAGAGAUGGCUAGUCGUCGGCUUCUGCCCCCAUGCCACGAGUGCUGGGGUGUUCGGGAUAAACCUGAGCAUUCUUUUUCCAAUUUUUGGGUCCUUCGAGGGAGGUGCUCAGCACAACGAACAAGGCAAUCAGACUAUAAUGCUUUAUCACUCUCACUUAGCCAUAGAAGUCUACAAUUUUAAAUUUUGGCGAAGCCCCUAGUAUUCAGAAGGCCGAAUUCGGGGCGCUAUACACGCCUUAAGCCGGACAAAGCCGACUCCUCGCUCUAAGCGGCAUAAGUCUUUAGGGAUUCGAGACCUCUCGAACAGCGACCAACUCUCGCCUUAUCAUGACAGUCAGUUUUAGCUUUCUCUACUGAGGUGCUUAGCCCAGAUGAACCGGGGCACAAUCGAAGUAGUUCUCCCAGUGCUACCUUAGUCGAUAUAACAGAACAUAAGGUACCAAAACAUGGGAGCCAGGUAAACCCAACUAUUGACCCAAGACAUGAUUCGGAGCAGAUGCAUAUAAUGCUAUAAGUUCGGGGUGCCGCACUGUCGAAAGUGUUCGGACUUCUCACGCCGUAUUAUGGGGUAUGCUUAAGCCCCUGGCGUAUUGGCCGUACCAGAGUGUGGGUGCUGGAUGUCAUGAAUGAACAUAUAUAUAUAUAUAUAUAUAUAUAUAUAUAUAUAUAUAAAAGAAGAAUAGAGAAUGCGAUAAUAGUCUAGUGCUAUGCAUUGUUUAUUCAAAAAGGUGCGUCGAAGCAAAAUAAUACAAGUAGUGCGAUAAGCAAAAAGUAGGACUAUUUGACAUGUCCCCUCCAAGGGCAAGCUGAGGAAUGUUAUUUAAAGCAAGUAUUUCACUCGUUAUCGGAAUCCACCUGGGAGUUCCAUGGUGCGACAUAGCUUUCUGCCUCCUUGGUUGUUGUAUCGUGUGUCCGGCAAUCAUACUGCCGGACGGGGCUUCCAGAGAUUAAAGUCCUGAAAGAAAGAAAAAUAACAAAGCGGGAAGCCCCUAGUGCGGUUGAGCCGCGUCUUGGGGCGUGCCGUACUCGUGCCCCCUCCCCACCUGUGCCCAUGGUAUUUUCAAUGCGUAAUUAUGUACACAUGGCACGGAUUUCGCCAUUUGGCUGGGACUGGGUUGGGGGCCGCAUUGCUAUGCGAGCUCGGAACAUGCCCGUCGGUCUUGUUGUCGAUUACUCCGGGUGCGCUUGAAGGUGUCCGGGUCCUUAAUCGCCGAACUGGUAGAUUGCCUUAAGAGGCUGCUUUGCGCUUCUGCUGCGAGGGCCGCAGUGUGCUCCUCCGUGCGGAGAGAGCGCUCUGUGUUUCCAUUGACUGUGAUGACCCCCCGAGGUCCUGGCAUCUUGAGCUUGAGGUACGCAUAAUGCAGUACCGCAUUGAAUCUCGCAAAUGCGGUUCGCCCGAGCAGUGCAUGAUAGCCACUGCGGAACGGGACUAUAUCGAAGAUUAACUCCUCGCUUCGGAAGUUAUCCGGGGAUCCGAAGACCACUUCUAGUGUGACUGAGCCUGUGCAAUGGGCCUCUACACCUGGUAUGACGCCUUUGAAGGUCAUUUUUGUGGGUUUGAUCCUUGAGGGGUCUAUACCCAUUUUGCGCACUAUGUCCUGAUAAAGCAGGUUCAGGCUGCUGCCGCCGUCCAUAAGGACUCGAGUGAGGUGAAAUCCGUCGAUGAUUGGGUCUAGGACCAGUGCGGCGAAUCCGCCAUGACGGAUACUAGUGGGGUGGUCCCUGUGAUCGAAGGUGAUCGGACAGGAGGACCAUGGGUUGAACUUUGGGGCGACUGGCUCCAACGCAUAUACGUCCCUUAACGCACGCUUCCGCUCCCUCUUGGGGAUGUGGGUUGCGUAUAUCAUGUUCACCGUCCGCACUUGUGGGGGGAACCUCUUCUGUCCUCCGGUGUUCGGCAGUCGGGGCUCCUCCUCGUCAUCGCUAUGUAACUCCUUAUCUUUGUUUUCGGCGUUUAACUUGCCGGCCUACUUGAACACCCAACAAUCCCUUUGGUGUGGUUGGCUGGCUUGUCGGGGGGUGCCGUGUAUUUGACACGAGCGAUCGAGUAUACGGUCCAAACUGGAUGGGCUGGAGUGCUUCUUUUGAAUGGCUUUUUCCGCUGACCGGGUUUAGAGCCUUUGAAUCCGGCAUUGACUGCCGUAUCCUCGGUAUUAUUGUUGUUGAUGCGGCGCUUGUGUUUGUUGCGACAUGACCUGCCAUUGUUAUCCUUGGUAUCCGAAGUACCAUGGUUCUUUGAUAUGUUAUUGCUGUGAGCCAGCCAGCUGUCUUCUCCCGCGCAAAAUCGGGUCAUGAGUGUCGUGAGGGCUGCCAUAGAUUUCGGCUUUUCCUGGCCAAGGUGCCGGGCGAGCCACUUGUCGCGGAUGUUGUGCUUAAAAGCUGCUAGGCCUCUGCAUCCGGAUAGUCGACGAUUUGAUUUUUCUUUGCAGGAACCGUGUCCAGAAUUGCCUGGCCGAUUCCUUUGGCUGCUGAAUUAUGUGGCUCAAGUCAUCGGCAUCUGGUGGUCGCACAUAAGUGCCCUGGAAGUUGUCGAGGAAUGCGGCUUCCAGAUCUUCCCAACAGCCAAUGGAUUCUGCUGGCAGGCUGUUGAGCCAAUGCCGAGCUGGUCCUUUGAGCUUGAGUGGGAGGUAUUGGAUGGCGUGUAGAUCAUCACCACGGGCCAUGUGGAUGUUCAAGAGGAAGUCCUUGAUCCAUACCGCAUGAUCUGUUGUGCCGUCGUAUGAUUCGAUAUUUACGGGUUUGAAACCCUCUGGGAUUUGGUGAUCCAUUACUUCAUCUGUGAAGCAUAGGGGGUGUGCAGCGCCUCUGUACUGGGCUAUAUCGCGACACAGCUCAAAUGAGUCUUGUCCGCUGUGUUCGGCUCGGCCGGAUUUAUUUUUACUGUAUCCGGCGUGACGGUUAUCGUCUCGCAUAGUGGCGCGCCCUCGUGAUCCGUAGAUCGAUCUUGCGUGUUUUUCUUUGUCCUCCAAUACGUCUCGCAGUUCUGGCGUAUUUCCCCAUGCAUUGAUAUUCUUAUUUGAGUGACGUCGGGGUGUGGGCUGAGCUUUUGGCUGAAAUGCCUCUUUGUCGUGGCCACGAGGUGGCCGAUCAGCCACGUCAUACACUGGAGAUGUAGGUUUUGGUGCUUCCUCCUCUAGUCGGGGUAGCAACCUGCGCUUUGGGUAACUCUUGGAGGGACGUUCGAGUUUAUAUUCCUCGACCGCAAGGAUUUCAGUCCAUCUGUCAGCUAGCAAAUCUUGAUCAGCUUGAAGCUGUUGUUGCUUUUUCUUAAGGCUAUUUGUCGUGGCUAUAAGCCGGCGCUUGAAGCGCUCUUGUUCGACGGGAUCCUCAGGCACGACGAAUUCAUCAUCGUCGAGGCUUUGCCUCAUCUUCGGAGGGAGGCAUGUAAUUAUCAUCCUCCGCCUCUCCAUCUGCCGCUCUCUCGGGAGGGCUGGCUUCUCCAUCCUCCUGCCCUAAAUCUUGCCGGAGGGGAUUAUUGUCGUCUUCGGCACUGUCCGGAGUGCUAUUAUCUCCUGUGCUGGUGUCACUGCUUUUGCUUUGGCGAGACUUAGAGCGGCGCCGCUAACGUUGGCGCUUGGAUUGCUUCUUGGAGGGGUCAUCCUCCGCUAUCCCGUCGUCAUUGCCUUCUUUGGGUGUGUCCACCAUAUAUAUGUCAUAUGACGAGGUGGCUGUCCAGUGCCCUGUGGGCAGUGGUUCUUGUUCGCCUCCUGCAUCGUCGUCCAUGCCGUCUAUGUCUUCAGAGUCGAAGUCGAGCAUGUCGGUCAAAUUGUCGACAGUGGCUACUAAGUGGGUGGUGGGUGGUCGGCGAAUUUCUUCGUCAUCCGCAUCCCAAUCCUGCCGGACAUAGUUCGGCCAGGACUCUCCUGACAAGGAGAGAGACCUUAAUGAGUUCAGUAUGUCACCAAGGGGCGAGUGCUGAAAGAUAUCCGCGAAGGUAAACUCCAUGAUCGGCGCCCAGUCAGAUUCGAUAGGCACGGGCGCAGGCGGUUCGGAGUCCAUGGCCGGGGAAGGAUCUGGCAGCUUGGCAUCACAGCUCUCGUGAAGGGUAAGGUCGAUACUCGGCUCGAUCGCCGCUGAGGAUACGGCCUCCGUGGCGGGGUCUAUCCACCCGUCCAUGGAUGGCGCAAUUGGCUCCGAAUUGAGGGUUGGAGCGGUUGCCGGCGUGAUCUCCUGAACACUGUCUGAUGGCAGAGCUAAAUCAUGCUCAUCGUGACCGUGUGGCACACUAGGCAAGGGCUCGAAUCCGUCGAAGAUCAAGUCUCCGCGGAUAUCGGCCGUGUAGUUUAAGCUUCCAAACCUGACCUGGUGGCCAGGGGUGUAACUCUCGAUCUGCUCCAGAUGGCCAAGCGAGUUGGCCCGCAGUGCGAAGCCGCCGAAUACAAAGAUCUGUCCGGGGAGAAAAGUCUCACCCUGGACUGCAUCGCUAUCGAUGAUUGAAGGAGCCAUCAAGCCUAAUGAUGACGACACAAAGGAACUCUCAAUGAAAGCACCAAUGUCGGUGUCAAAACCGGCGGAUCUCGGAUAGGGGGUCCCGAACUGUGCGUCUAAGGCGGAUGGUAACAAGAGGCAGGGGACACGAUGUUUUACCCAGGUUCGGGCCCUCUUGAUGGAGGUAAAACCCUACGUCCUGCUUGAUUAUUCUUGAUAAUAUGAGUAGUACAAGAGUAGAUCUACCACGAGAUCGGAGAGGCUAAACCCUAGAAGCUAGCCUAUGGUAUGAUUGUAUGUUGUCCUACGGACUAAAACCCUCCGGUUUAUAUAGACACCGGAGGGGGCUAGGGUUACACAAGGUCGGUUACAAAGGAGGAGAUAUACAUAUCCGUAUUGCCUAGCUUGCCUUCCACGCCAAGGAGAGUCCCAUCCGGACACGGGACGAAGUCUUCAAUCUUGUAUCUUCAUAGUCCAACAGUCCGGCCAGAGGAUAUAGUCCGGCUGUCUGGAGACCCCCUAAUCCAGGACUCCCUCAACGGGUCAAGGAGGGGACAGACCAGCCCACAGGGGGCUGGUGUGCCCCUCUCCCUGGCCGACCAGCCCUAGGGAAGGAAAGGGGGAGGGCUAGCCCCUCCUGCCUUCCCCUUCUCAUGGGAGAAAGGAAAGGGGGGCCUCCCUCCCCUGCCUUUCCCCUGCACCUAUACAUGGCAGGGGCGCCACUUGGGAGGAGACCCCAAGUAGGAUUCAGCCUACUUGGCGUGCCUGCUACGUCCAUUUUGCAUCAUGUUUGCCUACUGUUAUUUAUAAUGUUUUUAUGCAUAAUAAUGCUUUUUUGGAGUAAUUAUAAUGCCUUUUCUCUCAUAAUAUGCAAGGUUCACACAAGGAGGGAGAAUUCCGACAACUGGAAAUCUGGACCAGAAAAAGCAACGUCAGGCUACCUAUUCUGCACAACUCCAAAAUGAGUUGAAACUUCACGAGGAAUAUUUAUGGAAUAUAUGAAAAAUGCUGGAGCAAAUAACUACCGGAGGGGGCACCUGGUGAGCACAAGACACCGGGGCGCGCCAGGGCCCCCAAGCGCGCCCUGGUGGGUUGUGCUCAGCCCAGCCCACCUUCGGUGCCCAUCUUCUGGUAUUUAAGUCAUUUCGUCCUAGAAAAAAAAAUAAGGAGAGGACUUUCGGGGCGAAGCGCCGCCGUCUCGAGGCGGAACUUGGGCAGGAGCACUUUUGCCCUUCGGCGAAGCGAUCCUGCCGGGGGAACUUUCCUCCCGAAGGGGGAAAUCAUCGUCAUCAUCAUCACCAACAACUCUCCCAUCUUGGGGAGGGCAAUCUCCAUCAACAUAUUCAACAUCACCAUCUCCUCUCAAACCCUAGUUCGUCUCUUGUGUUCAAUCUUUAUACCGGAACUAUAGGUUGGUACUUGUGGGUGACUAGUAGUGUUGAUUACAUCUUGUAGUUGAUUACUAUAUGGUUUAUUUGGUGGAAGAUUAUAUGUUCAGAUCCAUUAUACUAUUUAAUAUCCUUCUGAUCUUGAGCAUGAUUAUCAUUUGUGAGUAGUUACUUUUGUUCUUGAGGUCACGAGAGAAAUCUUGUUGCAAGUAAUCAUGUAAACUUGAUAUGUGUUCACAGGAAUCAAAACAUACAUACCAUCAAACUAUAGAUAGUUUGAUGGUAUGUAUGUUGUGAUUCCUUUAGUGGUGUCAUGUGAACGUCGACUACAUGACACUUCACCAUAUUUGNNNNNNNNNNNNNNNNNNNNNNNNNNNNNNNNNNNNNNNNNNNNNNNNNNNNNNNNNNNNNNNNNNNNNNNNNNNNNNNNNNNNNNNNNNNNNNNNNNNNNNNNNNNNNNNNNNNNNNNNNNNNNNNNNNNNNNNNNNNNNNNNNNNNNNNNNNNNNNNNNNNNNNNNNNNNNNNNNNNNNNNNNNNNNNNNNNNNNNNNNNNNNNNNNNNNNNNNNNNNNNNNNNNNNNNNNNNNNNNNNNNNNNNNNNNNNNNNNNNNNNNNNNNNNNNNNNNNNNNNNNNNNNNNNNNNNNNNNNNNNNNNNNNNNNNNNNNNNNNNNNNNNNNNNNNNNNNNNNNNNNNNNNNNNNNNNNNNNNNNNNNNNNNNNNNNNNNNNNNNNNNNNNNNNNNNNNNGACGUUCACAUGACACCACUAAGGGAAUCACAACAUACAUACCAUCAACUAUCGAACACAUAUAAAAUUCACAUGAUUACUUGUAACAAGAUUUCCCGUGACCUCAAGAACAAAAGUAACUACUCAGAAAUGAUAAUCAUGCUCAAGAUCGGAGGGGUAUUAAAUAGCAUAAUGGAUCUAAACAUAUAUUCUUCCACCAAAUAAACCAUAUAAUAAUCAACUACAAGAUGUAAUCAACACUACUAGUCACCCACAAGUACCAACCUAUAGUUCCGGUACAAAGAUUGAACACAAGAGAUGAACUAGGGUUUGAGAGGAGAUGGUGUUGUUGAAGAUGUUGAUGGAGAUGGACCUCCCCAAGAUGGGAGAGUUUUUGGUGAUGAUGAUGACGAUGAUUUCCCCCUCUGGGAGGGAAGUUCCCCCGGCGGAAGCGCUCUGCUGGAGGGCAAAAGUGCUCCUGCCCAAGUUCCUCCUCGAGACGGUGGUACUUCGUACAGAAAGUCGUCUCCUUAUUUUUUUUCUAGGUCAAAAUGACUUAUAUACCAGAAGAGGGGCACCAGAGGUGGGCCGAGGAGGGAACAACCCACCAGGGCGCGUCUGGGCUCCCUGGCGCGCCCAGGUGGGUUGUGACCACCUGGUGGGCUCCCUAUGGUACUUAUUUGCUCCAUUAUUUCUUAUAUAUUCCAUAAAAAAUCUUUGUAAAGUUUCAGCUCAUUUGGAGUUGUGCAGAAUAGGUAGCCUGACAUAGCUUUUUCAGGUCCAGAUUUCCAGUUGCCGGUAUUCUCCCUCUUUGUGUGAACCUUGCAUAUUAUGAGAUAAAAGGCAUUAGAAUUACUCCAAAAAUCAUCAUUAUGCAUAAAAACAUUAUAAAUAAUAGUAGGUAAACAUGAUGCAAAAUGGACGUAUCAUGCCUCAACUUGACAAUGACGGGAUGGAUCUACCGUUUUGCUGAAGAUGAGGCCUGGCAAGCUAUAAAACUAACACUGGAUGAUAGCGCUCCUAACCUUAAUGGCUUAUUGGGGAUGUUUUACAGGAUCUGUUGGCCCAUCAUCAAAUGAGACCUUAUACAGGGCCAUAAACUAAUUCUACCACAUGAGCUGCACUUAGAGCAUAUGAAUGUUGGCGAACGUAGUAAUUCAAAAAAUUUCCUACGAUCAUGCAAGAUCUAUCUAGGAGAAGCAUAGCAACGAGACGGGAGAGUGUGUCCAUGUACCCUUGUAGACCGAAAGCGGAAGUGUUAGUAACGUGGUUGAUGUAGUCGAACGUCUUCACGAUCCAACCGAUCCUAGCACCGAACUUACGGCACCUCCGUGUUCAGCACACAUUCAGCAUGAUGACGUCCCUCGAGCUCUUGAUCCAGUUGAGGGCGAGGGAGAGUUCUGUCAGCAUGAUGGUGUGGUAACGGUGAUGAUGAAGUUACCGGCGCAGGGCUUCGCCUAAGCACUACGACGAUAUGACCGAGGUGUGUAACUGUGGAGGGGGGCCACCGCACACGGCUAAGAGAAGACUUGGUGUGCUUUUGGGUGCCCCUCCCGCCUCUGUAUAUAAAGGGGGGGAGGAGAGGAGACCGGCCAUAGGGGGGUGCGCGCCAUAGGGGAGUCCAACUAGGAUUCCCAAUCCUAGUUGGAGUCCCCUUCCUUUCCAGAGAGGGAGAGAGGGAAGGAGGAAGAAGGGAGAAGGAAAGAGGGGGCGCCGCCCCCUCCCUAGUCCAAUUCAAACUGACCAUGGGGGAGCUCCCUUGCAGCCCUCCUCUCCUUUCCACUAGGGCACAUGAAGGCCCAUUAACUUUCCGGGGGGGGUCCGGUAACCCCCGGUACUCCGAAACUUAUCUGAAACUUCCGGAAACCAUUCCGGUGUCCGAAUCUAACCUUCCAAUAUAUGAAUCUUUACCUCUCGGCCAUUUUGAGACUCCUCGUCAUGUCUGUGAUCUCACCCGGGACUCUAAACAAUCUUCGGUAAUCAAAUCACAUAACUCAUAAUAUAAAUCAUCAUCGAACGUUAAGCAUGCGGACCCUACGGGUUCGAGAACUAUGUAUACAUGACUGAGACAUAUCUCCGGUCAAUAACCAAUAGCGGAACUUGGAUGCUCAUAUUGGCUCCUACAUAUUCUACAAAGAUCUUAAUCGGUCAAACCACAUAACAACAUACGUUGUUCCCUUUGUCAUUGUUAUGUUACUUGACCGAGAUUCGAUCGUCGGUAUCAUCAUACCUAGUUCAAUCUCGUUACCGGCAAGUCUCUUUACUUGUUCCAUAAUGCAUCAUCUCGCAACUAACUCAUUAGUCACAUUGCUUGCAAGGCUUAUUGAAAGAUCAUGGAUGUCGCCUAGAGGGGGGUGAAUAGGCGCUUUAAAAUAAUUACGGUUUAGGCUUGAACUAAUGCGGAAUAAACCUAGAGGUUAAUUUGUCAAACACAAAACCUACAACAACUAGGCUCACCUAUGUACACCAACAACUUAUACUAAGAAAGAUAAACAACUAUUUGAUAGCAAGAUAUAUGACAAGAAACAAUAUGGCUAUCACAAAGUAAAGUGCAUAAGUAAAGGGCUCGGGUAAGAGAUAACUGAGGCGCGCGGAGACGACGAUGUAUCCCAAAGUUCACACCCUUGCGGAUGCUAAUCUCCGUUUGGAGCGGUGUGGAGGCACAAUGCUCCCCAAGAAGCCACUAGGGCCACCGUAAUCUCCUCACGCCCUUGCACAAUGCAAGAUGCCAUGAUUCCACUAAGGGACCCUUGAGGGCGGUCACCGAACCCGUAAAAAUGGCAACCCUUGGGGGCGGUCACCGAACCCAUACACUUUGGCAACCCUUGGGGGCGGUCACCGGUACCCGUCAAAUUGCUCGGGGCGAUCUCCACAACCUAAUUGGAGACCCCGACGCUUGCCCGGAGCUUUAAACCACAAUGAUUGAGCUCCGAACACCACCAACCAUCUAGGGCGCCCAAGCACCCAAGAGGAACAAGCUCAAAGGUACCAAGCACCCAAGAGUAAUAAGCUUCUCAACUUGUAACUUCCACGUAUCACGUGGAGAACUCAAACCGAUGCACCAAAUGCAAUGGCAAGGGCACACAGAGUGCCCAAGUCCUUCUGUCUCAAAUCCCACCAAAGCAACUAAUGCUAGGGAGGAAAAUGAGAGGAAGAACAAGAAGGAGAACACCAAGAACUCCAAGAUCUAGAUCCAAGGGGUUCCCCUCACCUAGAGGAGAAAGUGAUUGGUGGAAACGUGGAUCUAGAUCUCCUCUCUCUUUUCCCUCAAAAACUAGCAAGAAUCCAUGGAGGGAUUGAGAGUUAGCAAGCUCGAAGAAGGUCAACAAUGGGGGAAGAACACGAGCUCAAAGGAUAAGGUUCAUUGGGAAGAAGACCCCCUUUUAUAGGUGAGAAAAAAUCCAACCGUUAUGCUCACAGCCCGCACCGAGCGGUACUACCGCUAGGGCGGUAGUAGCCCUUUGAAACACAACAGCGAGGAGGCAAAAAAGCCAGAAGAACCGUCGGAGUGGUAGUACCGCUUGACCCCACGGUACUACCGCUAGGGGUAGCGGUACUACUACUUGCGAGCGGUACUAAAAAGUUACAUCCGUGCCUAACAGCGUUGGACUUGUGACGAGUUUUUCUUCCCGAGCGGAAGUAGCCACGGAAGUAGCCGCGGUAGUACUGCUCCAAGCGGUAGUACCGCUCCCAAGAGCGGUAGUAAAAAAUUACAUCCACUCAUGUCCGCGGUAGUACCGAUGCAGCCUUUUCAGAACACCAAAACUGACACAACUUCUGCAAACGGACUCCGAAUUCGACGAAACCAAGUUUGUUGGAAAGCUAGUGACAAGGGCUAACACAAUCUUGAUAGAAAUACCAAUAAGAAGCAAAUGAGAAAAGGCCCAAAAUAAAAUUGUGAGAACCCUUCCUCGGAUAAGACCGGUAAAACCUCCAACACCGAAAACAUCAUAGAAGACGCAUGCAAACUCUGUUUUCGAUGAACUCAAGCUUGUAAUCAAGAUUACCAUAAGCUUUAAGACUCACGAAGAGAACCAAACAAGAACCAACAAACAUGAUGCAAGGAUGCAAUGGUUUGAGCUCUCGACGAACGAUACGAUCAAGCUACUCACUUGAGAGCCCCCCUUGAUAGUACGCCUAUCGAUCCUAUAACCCGGUCUCCCAACUACCACCAUGAGACCGGUAAAAUAGAAAACCUAUCAAGGGCAAACCUUUGCCUUGCACAUGAUCCACUUGAGCUAGAUGAUGACGAUCUUGUCCUCCUCAAGAUGGACCACCUUUCUUGAUUGCGUUGGGUCGAUGGAGACUAGAUGAUUGCUCCCCCAUACUCCACUAUGGGUGAGACACUCUUCGGCACAUCUUCACAAGUCCAUUGACACCAUAAUGGAUGGCAAGCUUCAAGCACUUGAUCUCUUCGUGAUUCUCCACUUGAACUGGCACGCGGCAAUCUUGAUGACAUCCUUCCCAUGGGUUGUAUGAUAUCAUCCUCUUGACGCAAGCCCAUGGACACGUACCUAACCCCACAUAGACUCUCACAUAGACCAUGGGUUAGUACACAAAGUGCAAUGGACAAUGCUUACCAUACCAUGGGAUCACUUGAUCCCUCUCGGUACAUCUUCUACUCUUUGUGAGUUGAUCAACUUGAUUCACUCUUGACUUAGUCUUGAUCAACCUUGAAUCUUUCCAACUCUCUUCGUUUGGAUGAUGUCUUGAAGGUAAACAUGAAUGAUCACACAAUCUUCUUCUUCAAGACAUGCUUGCAAUAAGCUCAACACUCACAUGACCAAUCUUUGGAUAAUUCCUUAAUAGCACCUUGGUCAACCCAUAGACUCCUUGAAACCAACACAUGGACUUCAAGAAAUGCCUAUGGAAAAAUCCUUCAAAUAUAACUCAAUGCAACCAUUAGUCCAUAGAGAAUGUCAUCAAUUACCAAAACCACACAUGGGGGCACCACAUGUCCUUUCGAUCUCCCCCAUUUUGGUAAUUGAUUACAAUCACUUUCAAGAGAGUUUAUAUAAGGAAUUAUGCAUCACCAUGCAAUGCAACAACCAAUAAUGCAUGCGUAGGAUAUGCGUAUGCUUAGGAACAAACCAAAGCCAGAAGAGACAACUCUCUAAACUUCUCCACAAAACUCUCUGAAACUUCUCCCCCAUUGGCAUCGAUUGCCCAAAUGGGCUAAAAGCUUAGAAGGCCAAUAUAAAAUGUGUUCCUCCAUAAAUUGUGUAUAUCUCAACAAGAGAGUGGAAUGCAAUACACAUAUCCAACGGUAAAUACUUGGAGGAAGACAAACUAUAUUGAGGCCCAAAGAUUGCAAAAGGAAGAUAUGCCACAAAGACAUAAUCAAAGAGAGAAACAAGCAAUCAAAAGAUACCAAUUGAAGCAAGCUAUCAAAAGGUACCAAUUGAACCAACUAGGCCAAUGAUCCUACGAGCCACGUGAAUAAAGGAUAUUAUGAUAAGAGCGGAGCAGUGUUCUAAAGAAACUAGAGAAGCUCCCCAUGAUUUGUGCACAUCAAGAAUUUCUGUAUUUGGAUACAAAGUGCACAAAAUAGGAUCAUAGCUCCCCCAAAAUCAAUAGAAACUUUCAACAAGUGCAAGAGAGCAUAUAGGAAACUAAGCCUAGUACUUGCAACAAACACAUGGUUGAGCAACAAGUAAGAGAGGCAACUUAAGAGUGGGAUCAACCAAAAAGAUGUGUGUGAGUCAAGGCAAUGCACUUGAGAAGACUAAUGUACAGAAGAGCAUUAAGCACCAAUAAAGUCUUCAAAGAAUGAGGCACACGGUGCAAGGCCUAUCAUUCCCACACACAACUAGCAAAUGGGUUCACAAGCUUACUAAUAAGCAUAUAGAGAACCUAUGCUUGUGACAACCCGUGGUGAAGAUAGAAGAUGAAAGGCGCAUCAAGACGAGGGAUGCCAAUUAAGAUGGCAAAAACCUCGUAAAGAUAAGCAUGAGGAAAAUAAUCUUCACCACACAAGAGCGCAUCAAGAUGCAACGAUAGAAGACACGCACUCAAGGAAAAAGCUUUCACAGAGCCACCAAAGAAAUAACAUAAGAAAGACAAGGUGGACGUGAAAGAAAGGAUAUCAUCUAGAUAUGCAACUUCUCUCAAGUGUAUAAGAUUCUAGGUAGACGAAAUCAUGAUGAUAUAUAUAUAUAUAUCUACAAAGAAGGAUGUACACCCGAAAUAGUUACAACACGAAGGAACAAGAUAUCCAAAAGGAAGUCAUACAUAUACCAAUAAGAUAUUUGCUUGAGAGCAUAGCACAUGGCUAGAUAUGGUCUUAUUGUAUAUAAAUGAAUUCCAACGACACGAACAUCAAAGACAUCACAACUAGCAAGAAGACAUCAUUGUUGGGAUGCUUUGAGAAAGGAAACAAGUAUCACAAGAAAGAAUGGAUAACGUGCCAUGAUACAACCUACACAAGGUUGAUGCAAGAAAUGUGUGCAUGAAGUAUAUGAAGAUACUUGUUACUGAGAUAACAUUGGAAGGAUGUAGUAGAUACCAAUUGAAGGUAAAAAGUAGUUCAUUGAUCAUCCUAGCUUGAAUCCAAUAAGCACAUGGUGACAACACCUUCCUUGUGAGUGAGCCGAGCAUCCAAUGCAUCUCCACUUGUUCCUAGAACAACAACACAAACAAAAUGGUACCCAAACUCAUUGGGACCAAAGAGUUAGAGAACCAACAACACAUAGGACAAACUCCACAUAAAUAUGUGCAUAUAGAUAUGAAAAUAAAUUUCAUGCACAUCUCAUCCAAUUUGAGACUUGGUGGAGUUCCCCCUAUAUAUUGGGUCAAAGAAAGAAAACAUGCCGAAGAAACUACAAGAAGUAAAUAUGCAUGCUCAAGACUUUCAAGAACCGAGACCAAAAGACAAAGAAAUACCAAGCGAAGAAAAGAUACCAAAUGAAUAAAUCAUCACUUGGAGGGUAUCCAUAAAAGAUACAUCAAGGAAUGAGAUAUCCAUUGAUACACUCAAAAAGAAAGAUGUCAAACUCCCAAAAGAGAGAAUGGUUCCAAACAAACCAAGCCCUCUACAAAGUUUCAUGAUGGCACAAAGCACCAAAAGGAAACGGCUUGCCUUCCACAAACACACACUUGAUAAGGAUCACAAGAUGAGUGUUUUAUAGAGAAUAGGAUAGCUCCCCCAAGACUAGUGCAUUAUAGAGAAUUUGCAUUUGAAUACAAAAUGCACGAGGUGGGAUCACCACUUUCACUAUAUCUAGAAAACACUAGACAAGGUCAAGAAAUUAACAAGAUCCACAAGUGGUAUGGAAUACAAUGGGAGUUGACACAAUCCUAGGCAAGAGAUAAAGCAAAUAAAAGCAAAGGCCAAUGUAAAGAUGAUCAAUAAUUUAUACCACACAUAAGUGAGUACCAAUUGUCAAAAGACAAGAAGUAUUUGGAAAUAAUUCCCGGUGGUAGAUAACAAGGAUAUCCGACAUCAUCUUCACACCAAACAAAAAGCAAAUUGCAACUUGUAGAGCUAACAUGCCACCUAGGAACAAGAUAAUUUACAUUAUCAAUUCUAGGUGACAAUAUCUCAAAUAUACACAUUUUCUAGGCUAGUAAUAUACACAUAGCAUAUUACUCCCCCAUAAUGUGAUACCAAUUAAAGAUAAACAAGAGUCAAAAUAACGACCCAACACGAGAUAAUUAAUGGACAAUAUAGAAUUUGAAUUUCUCAUGAAAAGACAUACCACAUAGCGACUAGAUAAUCUUGAAAUAUCAAUACUAGAUGAUAUUACUCAUGCACACACAUUUAUAGGAUUGUGAGGCGCAUAAAGCACAUCACUCUCCCAUAAUGGUAUAUUCCAUUAAUCUCUCACAAGAGCCAACUAAGAAAUAAACAAGAUGCAAAAGGCUCAACGCAUGACACACACGUACAUGAUGUGCAAACCAACACACACAUACUUGAUUGCUCAAGAUAAUCAUGUUGGAAGCACAACAUAUACAAACACAUGCAAGGAACGAAACCAAACAUGCAAAGGGGCAAGUAACUAUCAAUGUAGACACUUUAAGCACGAGUUACCGCAAGGAGGAGCAUUGGAUAUAUGAUAGAAACUUGAUAAUCCGAAUGACUUGGCUUGAGACAAUAAGAAUGAUGAAGUCCCCUUAAUUCUUCAUAAUGUAGCCAAGUCUCCAUUGACCUCCAAUAUCACCUAUUGAUCAAGUUUGAGCUAGUUGGUCCCCAACCAAGUUGGGUCCUAAGAGGUUAGUCACAAUAGGCUUGGCUACCCAAAUGGUUCUUUUCUUGACACCACUUUGAGCACCAACAAAUUUGGCAAACACAUUGCCAACAUUAUCCUUCCCAAGAGAAUAGAUAUCAUCAAUAAUAAUUGGGUUGGAUAAGUUACCACUAGUGCAUGAAGAGGCGAGGUGACCUUUCUCACGACAUAGGUAGCAACGUCUACUCUUCACUUUCUUCUCACUUGAUUUCUCAACUUGAGAAGCAUAAGCUUGAGUCUUCUUGGGAAGAGGAUUUUCUUCAACUUGAGGUUGAGCAUGAGAAUGAACUUGUGGCCGCUUUCCUUGUUGCUUGUCACUAAUGGGUUUCUUCUUCAAUGGGCAAGAUCUAACACGAUGCCCUUCAAUUUUGCACUUGAAGCAAAUAAUCUUGGCCGAAUUCUUGACUUGUUCUUGGCCCUUCUUCUUGAUCAUCUUGGACCUCUUCUUCUUAUUGGAGUUGAAUCCAAGUCCACCUUUGUCAUUGGGGGAUUUUUGCACACUCAAGAUAUUGUUGAGUGUGGAUUUCCCUUCAUGACUCUUUUCCAAGUCUUUCUUCAAAGAAGUGACUUGGGCCUUGAGCUGUUUGAUUUCCUCUACAUGGUUAGUCUCAACACAAGUACUAGAGGAAGUAUAAGCUUCAUAGUUAGAGCAACAAGGCAAGGAAAGCAAUUCAUCACAAGAUGUACCAACAUUGUGAGUAGAUGAAUUACAAGGACUAGCACAUGGCAAUAUGGCAUUUUGACUAGAAGUAGUGCUAGUAUCCACAUGAGGCUCACUAGAUGUUACCUUAGAAAUCAUGGCCUCAUGAGCUAUCUUUAGCUCAUUAUGGGAUACUAGAAGAUCAUCAUGAGAGCUUGAGAGCUUUUCAUGGUUUUCUUCCAAUUUCCCAUAAUUGCUAGAUAGCAACUCAAGUUGAGCCCGAAGCUCAACAUUCUCCUUCAAAAUGGAUGCUUCACAAGUAAUAGAGUUAGUAUCCCAAGCAUCAUAAUUAACAACAACAGGAGAGGACACCUUGGCAAGCUCUUUUAAGUAAGAAGCUUCAAGUUGAGCAUGAGACUCGGUGAGUUUGAUGAGCUCACCCUUGAUGACCCUUGAGCCAUUUUCGAGGUGCUCAAAUUCCUCAAGGAGUCUAGCAUGAGCAACUUCAAGCUUAGUAUUUUUAGUUUUGAAAUCAUUGGCCACCUCGAGUGCUCUAUCAUGAGAUUCCUUUAUUCUAGAUAAUUCUAGAGCAAAGGUCUCCUCAAGAGAUUUGGAUGUGGUUUGUUCAUGUUCAAGGGCUUGAGAUAGCUCCGCGAUCUCAUUUGCGUAAUCACGCUCAUGAGCUUCCAUUUUCUCAAUGGUGACCUCAUGCUCCUCUAGAUGAGAUUCCAACUCCUCAAUGUAUUUCUUGCCUUCAAUGGCAAUAGACAUGAUUUCCAUGAAGUUGGAACGAGCAAGUUUAUUUUUGUGAAGAGCUUUAAAAAUCAUUUCCCCCUUAGUUUUUAAGGAGGCAACAUUAUCAUUCUCUUCAUCAUAAUCAACAUCAUCAUCACUCUUGCCAUCGUCACAAGAUAUAUUGGGAUUCAAAGUGGGAGAUACCUUUGAAGCCUUGGCCAUAAGGCAAAAUGAAAUAGAUGAUGAUGUAGGAUCCGUUGAAGCACCAUUCAAUACCACAUCUUGUUCCAUGGGGUGUUGGGGUUCCUCUACAUUGUUAGCACAACAAUUCGAGGACAUAUAUGCAUUUUUAUCAUGGCAACAAGACAUUGUAAACAUAUCAUCAUGAGAUUUAGUCAAGCAAUUUCUACAUGAUAUGCAAGGACUAUCAACACAAGCAUGUGAAACAUUUGGAGUGCUCGAAGUGUUAAAGCCCAAAGAAGGAGCAUUGCAAUAAGAUAGUGAUGAAGGAGAUCAUCCACGAUAAACAUACUAUCAUCAUUGCAAUGACCAACACUACUCACCAUAUCAUUACCUUGUGGCAAACCACAUGUAGGUGAAGUAGAAGAAGUUGAGAAGACUAUACGGCCAGAUGUGGAGGGAGAACAAUCAUCCCCACAAAACUUGGACACGCCAUAUUUAUCUUGAAGCUUUGUCCACAACUCAUGAGCAUCCCGGAACAGCAUGAGUUGAAAUAUAACUACAUUGCUCAAAGCAUCUAAAAGAACAUUAGAAGCUUGAGCAUUGAGAUAAGAGUUUUUUCAUCCUCUAAAGAUAAUCUUUGGGGAUCCUUUGGAGGAGAAAAACCCAUAUCUACAAUUCACUCUAAAUUUGGGUCCAUGACCCUAAAGAGAUUAAGCAUGCGAAUUACCCAAACAUGAAAAUUUGUGCCAUCGAAACUAAGAGUGUCAGAGAAUCCUAAACCCCUAGUCGACAUCCUUACUCUCUAGGUGGUUAAGCCCUGAAAGAGAGACGAGGCUCUGAUACCAAUUGAAAGAUCGUGGAUGUCGCAUAGAGGGGGGGGGUGAAUAGGCGCUUUAAAAUAAUUACGAUUUAGGCUUGAACAAAUGCGGAAUAAACCUAGCAGUUAAUUUGUCAAACACAAAACCUACAACAACUAGGCUCACCUAUGUGCACCAACAACUUAUACUAAGCAAGAUAAACAACUAUGUGAUAGCAAGAUAUAUGACAAGAAACAAUAUGGCUAUCACAAAGUAAAGUACAUAAGUAAAGGGCUCGGGUAAGAGAUAACCGAGGCACGCAGAGACGAUGAUGUAUCCCGAAGUUCACACCCUUGCGGAUGCUAAUCUCCAUUUGGAGCAGUGUGGAGGCACAAUGCUCCCCAAGAAGCCACUAGGGCCACCGUAAUCUCUUCACGCCCUCGCACAAUGCAAGAUGCCGUGAUUCCAGGCACAAUGCUCCCCAAGAAGCCACUAGGGCCACCGUAAUCUCUUCACGCCCUCGCACAAUGCAAGAUGCCGUGAUUCCACUAAGGGACCCUUGAGGGCGGUCACCGAACCCGUACAAAUGGCAACCCUUGGGGCCGGUCACCGAACUCGUACACUUUGGCAACCCUUGGGGGCGGUCACCGGUACCCGUAAAAUUGCUCGGGGCGAUCUCCACAACCUAAUUGGAGACCCCGACACUUGCCCGGAGCUUUACACCACAAUGAUUGAGCUCCGAACACCACCAACCAUCUAGGGUGCCCAAGCACCCAAGAGGAACAAGCUCAAAGGUACCAAGCACCCAAGAGUAAUAAGCUUCUCAACUUGUAACUUCCAUGUAUCAUGUGGAGAACUCAAACCGAUGCACCAAAUGCAAUGGCAAGGGCACACGGAGUGCCCAAGUCCUUCUGUCUCAAAUCCCACCGAAGCAACUAAUGCUAGGGAGGAAAAUGAGAGGAAGAACAAGAAGGAGAACACCAAGAACUCCAAGAUCUAGAUCCAAGGGGUUCCCCUCACCUAGAGGAGAAAGUGAUUGGUGGAAACGUGGAUCUAGAUCUCCUCUCUCUAUUCCCUCAAAAACUAGCAAGAAUCCAUGGAGGGAUUGAGAGUUAGCAAGCUCUAAGAAGGUCAACAAUGGGGGAAGAACACGAGCUCAAAGGAUAAGGUUCAUUGGGGAAGAAGACCCCCUUUUAUAGGUGGGGAAAAAUCCAACCGUUAUGCUCACAGCCCGCACCGAGCGGUACUACCGCUAGGGCGGUAGUAGCCCUUUGAAACACAACAGCGAGGAGGCAAAAAAGCCAGAAGAACCGUCGGAGCGGUAGUACCGCUUGACCUCAUGGUACUACCGCUAGGGGUAGCGUUACUACUGCUAAGGGUAGCGGUACUACUGCUUGCGAGCGGUACUAAAAAUUACAUCCGUGCCUACCACCGCUGGACUUGUGACGAGUUUUUGGUCCCGAGCGGAAGUAGCCCCGGAAUUAGCCACGGUAGUACUGCUCCAAGCGGUAGUACCGCCCGCAAGAGCGGUAGUAAAAAAUUAAAUCCGUUCCUGUGCGCGGUAGUACCACUACAGCCUUUUUAGAACACCAAAACUGACACAACUUCUGCAAACGGACUCCAAAUUCGACGAAACCAAGUUUGUUGGAAAGCUAGCGACAAGGGCUAACACAAUCUUGAUAGAAAUACCAAUAAGAAGAAAAUGAUAAAAGGCCCAAAAGAAAAUGGUGAGAUCCCUUCCUUGGAUAAGACCGGUAAAACCUCCAACACCGAAAACAUCAUAGAAGACGCAUGCAAACUCCGUUUUUGAUGAACUCAAGCUUGUCAUCAAAAUGACCAUAAGCUCUAAGAAUCAAAAAGAGAACCAAACAAGAACCAAGAAACAUGAUAAAAGGAUGCAAUGGUUUGAGCUCUCGACGAACGAUACGAUCAAGCUACUCACUUGAGAGCCCCCCCUUGAUAGUACGGCUAUCGAUCCUAUAACCCGGUCUCCCAACUACCACCAUGAGACCGGUAAAAUAGAAAACCUAUCAAGGGCAAACCUUUGCCUUGCACAUGAUCCACUUGAGCUAGAUGAUGAUGAUCUUGUACUCCUCAAGAUGCACCACCUUUCUUGAUUGCGUUGGGUCAAUGGAGACUAGAUGAUUGCUCCCCCAUACUCCACUAUGGGCGAGCCACUCUUCGGCACAUCUUCACAAGUCCAUUGACACCACAAUGGAUGGCAAGCUUCAAGCUUUUGAUCUCUUCAUGAUUCUCCACUUGAACCUGCACGUGGCAAUCUUGAUGACGAUCACCACUUGAUGUCAUCCUUCCCAUGGGUUGUAUGAUAUCAUCCUCUUGACGCAAGCCCAUGGACACAUACCUAACCCCACAUAGACUCUCACAUAGACCAUGGGUUAGUACACAAAGUGCAAUGGACAAUGCUUACCAUACCAUGGGAUCACUUGAUCCCUCUCGGUACAUCUUCUACUCUUUGUGAGUUGAUCAACUUGACUCACUCUUGACUUAGUCUUGAUCAACCUUGAAUCUUUUCAACUCUCUUCGUUUGGAUGAUGUCUUGAAGGUAAACAUGAAUGAGCACACAAUAUUCUUCUUCAAGACAUGCUUGCAAUAAGCUCAACACUCACAUGACCAAUAUUUGGAUAAUUCCUUAAUAGCACCUUGGUCAACCCAUAAACUCCUUGAAACCAUCCCAUGGACUUCAAGAAAUGCGUAUGGAAAAAUCCUUCAAAUAUAACUCAAUGCAACCAUUAGUGCAUAGAGAAUGUCAUCAAUUACCAAAACAACACAUGGGGGCACCGCAUGUCCUUUCACUUAUAGCGAUGAGCAUUACCAAGAGGGCCCAGAGAUACCUCUCCGAUACACGGAGUGACAAACCCUAAUCUCGAUAUAUGCCAACUCAACAAACACCAUCGGAGACACAUGUAGAGCAUCUUUAUAAUCACCCAUUUACAUUGUGACGUUUGAUAGCACACAAGGUGUUCCUCCGGUAUUCGGGAGUUUCAUAAUCUCAUAGUCAGAGGAACAUGUAUAAGUCAUGAAGAAAGCAAUAGCAAUAAAACUAAACGAUCAUUAUGCUUAGCUAACAGAUGGGUCUUGUCCAUCACAUCUUCUCUAAUGAUGUGAUCCCGUUCAUCAAAUGACAACACAUGUCUAUGGUUAGGAAACUUAACCAUCUCUGAUUAACGAGCUAGUCAAGUAGAGGCAUACUAGGGACACUUUGUUUGUCUAUGUAUUCACACAUGUAUCAAGUUUCCGGUUAAUACAAUUCUAGCAUGAAUAAUAAACAUGUAUCAUGAUAUAAGGAAAUAUAAAUAAAAACUUUAUUAUUGCCUCUAGGGCAUAUUUCCUUCAAUGAAUUCUACAAUUAUGAUGUUGAUCCCAAAGCUUGCAGAAGUAUCUAAAGUGGGACACUUUCGCCUUAUCAGCCUAGUACACUUGUUUGCUAAACUUGCAAAAAUCCUAUCAAUCCGAUUAGCGCCUAAGCUGAGCAAUAUGAUUUCGCCUGCUCAAAGUGCCUUCCUAAAGACCACGUGCAUUCACGAUAGUUACCUCUUCGUCAAAAAUGCUGCGAGAAACUUUCAUAGAAAAAGAAGCCAUUGUUGCUAUUUAAGAUGGAUAUUGCAAAGGCUUUUGACUCGAUCUCCUGUGAAUACUUGCUCGAGCUCCUGCAAAAACUAGAUUCGGUGCGCGUUGGCAUGAUUGGAUAUCCCUUUUGUUGCGAUCCUCCUCCUCCGAUGUUCUUUUAAAUGGAGUACACUGCCAACAGAUUCAACAUAAAUAGGGACUGAGACAAGGAGAUCCUUUAUCUUCGUUCUUAUUUAUCCUGGCUAUCAACACACUCCAUCGAGUGCUCGAAGAAGCGGCAACCAUGGGGCAACUAUCUCCAAUUCUUGGAGGAGAGGCAAAAAUGAGACUGAUCUUAUAUGCCGACGAUGCAAUCCUCUUCUCCAACCAAUGCAGAGAGGAGGUAUCUGAUACGUCUCCAACGUAUCUAUAAUUUUUGAUUGCUCCAUGCUAUAUUAUCUUCUGUUUUGGACAUUAUUGGGCUUUAUUAUACACUUUUAUAUUAUUUUUGGGACUAACCUAUUAACCGGAGGCCCAACCUAGAAUUGUCGUUUUUGCCUAUUUUAGGGUUUCGAAGAAAAGGAAUAUCAAACGGAGUCCAAACGGAAUGAAACCUUCGGGAACGUGAUUUUUGGAAUAAACAAGAUCCAGGAGACUUGGACCCUGCAUUAAGAAACCAACAGGGAGGCCACGAGGUAGGGGGCGCGCCUACCCCCCCCCCCCAAGCGUGCCCCCCACUCUCGUGGGGCCCCUGUUGCUCCACCGACGUACUUCUUCCUCCUAUAUAUACCUACGUACCCCCAAACGAUCAGAUACGAAGCCAAAACCCUAAUUCCACCACUGUAAAUUUUUGUAUCCACGAGAUCCCAUCUUGGGGCCUAUUCCGGAGCUCCGCCGGAGGGGGCAUCGAUCAUGGAGGGCCUCUACAUCAGACCUUCGGGUCCAUAGUUAUUAGCUAGAUGGCUUCUUCUCUCUUUUUGGAUCUCAAUACAAAGGUCUCCCCCUCUCUUGUGGAGAUCUAUUCGAUGUAAUCUUCUUUUGCGGUGUGUUUGUUGAGACCGAUCAAUUGUGGGUUUAUGAUCAAGUUUAUCUAUGAACAAUAUUUGAAUCUUCUCUGAAUUCUUUUAUGUAUGAUUGGUUAUCUUUGCAAGUCUCUUCGAAUCAUCAGUUUGGUUUGGCCUACUAGAUUGACCUUUUUUGCAAUGGGAGAAGUGCUUAGCUUUGGGUUCAAUCUUGCGGUGUCCUUUCCCAGUGACAGUAGGGGCAGCAAGGCACGUAUUGUAUUGUUGCCAUCGAGGAUAACAAGAUGGUUUUUUAUCAUAUUGCAUGAAUUUAUCCCUCUACAUCAUGUCAUCUUGCUUAAGGUGUUACUCUGUUCUUAUGAAUUUAAUACUCUAGAUGCAUGCUGGACAGCGGUCGAUGUGUGGAGUAAUAGUAGUAGAUGCAGGCAGGAGUCGGUCUACUUGUCUCGGUCGUGAUGCCUAUAUACAUGAUCAUACCUAGAUAUUCUCAUAACUAUGCUCAAUUCUGUCAAUUGCUCAACAGUAAUUUGUUCACCCACCGUAAAAUACUUAUGCUCUUGAGAGAAGCCACUAGUGAAACCUAUGGCCCCCAGGUCUAUCUUCUAUCAUAUUAAUCAUCCAAUACUUAGUUAUUUUCAUUGCUUUAUUUUACUUUGCAUCUUUAUCAUAAAAAUACCAAAAAUAUUAUCUUAUCAUAUCUAUCAGAUCUCACUCUCGUAAGUGACUGUGUAGGGAUUGACAACCCCUUAUCGCGUUGGUUGCGAGGAUUUAUUUGUUUUGUGUAGCUGCGAGGGACUCGCGCGUAGCCUCCUACUGGUUUGAUACCUUGGUUCUCAAAAACCGAUGGAAAUACUUAUGCUACUUUGCUGCACCACCCUUUCCUCUUCAAGGGAAAACCAGCGCAAGUGCUCAAGAGGUAGCAAGAAGGAUUUCUGGCGCCGUUGCCGGGGAGGUCUAUGCAAAAAUCAACAUACCAAGUACCUAUCACAACCCUUAUCUCCCGCAUUGCAUUAUUUGCCAUUUGCCUCUCGUUUUCCUCUCCCCCACUUCACCCUUGUCGUUUUAUUUGCCCUCUCUCUCUCUAUCCUCCCUCUCUUUCUCUAUUUGCCUCUUUUUGCCCGUUCCUCAUUUGCUUGUGUGUUGGAUUACUUGCUUUUCAUGAUGGCUCAAGAUAACACUAAAUUGUGUGACAUUACCAAUACCAACAACAAUGAUUUUAUUAGCACUCUGAUUGCUCCUCUUACCGAUGCUGAAUCUUGUGAAAUUAAUGUUGCCUUGCUGAAUCUUGUCAUGAAAGAUCCGUUUUCCGGCCUUCCUAGUGAAGAUGCCGCUACCUAUCUAAAUAGCUUCGUUGAUUUGUGUGAUAUGCAAAACAAGAAAGAUGUGUACAAUGAUAUUGUUAAAUUGAAGCUAUUUCCUUUUUCGCUUAAAGAUCGUGUUAAAGCUUGGUUUUCGUCUUUGCCUAAAAAUAGUAUUAAUUCAUGAAAUAAGUGCAAAGAUGCUUUUAUCUCUAAGUAUUUUCCUCCCGCUAAGAUCAUCUCUCUUAGAAACGAUAUUAUGAAUUUUAAUCAACUUGAUCAUGAACAUUUUGCACAAGCUUGGGAGAGGAUGAAAUUAAUGAUACGCAAUUGCCCUACGCAUGGUUUGAAUUUUUGGAUGAUUAUACAAAAAAUUUAUGACAGAUUGAAUUUUGCUUCUAGAAAUCUUUUAGAUUCGGCCGGGGGAGGCACUUUUAUGGAAAUCACUUUAGGAGAAGCUACUAAACUCCUAGAUAAUAUUGUGGUUAAUUAUUCUUAAAGGCACACUAAAAAAUCUACUAAAAAGAAAGUGCAUGCGAUAGAAGAAAUUAAUGUUUUGAGUGGAAAGAUGGAUGAACUCAUGAAAUUAUUUGCUAAUAAAAGUGUUUCUUCUGAUCCUAAUGAUAUGGCUUUGUCUACUUUGAUUGAGAAUAAUAAUGAAUCUAUGGAUGUGAAUUUUUUUCGUAGGAACAAUUUUGGUAACAAUGCGUAUAGAGGAAACUUUAAUCCUAGGCCUUAUCCUAGCAAUUCCUCUAAUAAUUAUGGUAAUUCCUACAACAAUUCUUAUGGAAAUUAUAAUAAGAUGCCCUCUGAUUUUGAAUCCAAUAUUAAAGAAAUUAUUACUUAGCAAAAUAAUUUCAAUGCUUUGAUUGAAGAAAAAUUGCUUAAGAUUGAUGAGUUGUCUAGGAACAUUGAUAGAAUUUAUCUUGAUGUUGAUUAUUUGAAACUUAGAUCUAUUCCUCCUAAGCAUGAUGUCAAUGAGUCUCUCAAAGGCAUGAGAAUUUCCAUUGAUGAGUGCAAAGAAACAACUGCUAGGAUGCGUGCUAAGAAAGAUUACUUUAUAAGAGCGUGUUCUUCUAGUUUCCAUGAUAAUAAAGAUUAAGAUCUAAAAGUUAUUGAUGUGUUCCCUAUUAAAUCUUUGUUUUUCAGUAUGAAUCUUGAUAAUGAUGGGACUAAAUAUGAUCCACCUUUACCUAUAAGGCGUUCCAAAAAUUCAGAGUUUUUAGAUCUUGAUGCUAAAUUUGAUAAAAGUGGGAUUGAAGAGAUCAAAACUCUAGAUGUUAAUGAACCUACUAUUUUGGAUUUCAAGGAAUUCAAUUAUGAUAAUUGCUCUUUGAUAGAUUUUAUUUCCUUGAUGCAAUCCAUGCUAAAUUCUCCCCAUGCUUAUAGUCAAAAUAAAGCUUUUACCAAAAAUAUCGUUGAUGCUUUGAUGCAAUCUUAUGAAGAAAAACUUGAGUUGGAAGUUUCUAUCCCUAGAAAACUUUAUGAUGAGUGGGAACCAACUAUUAAAAUUAAAAUUAAAGAUCAUGAAUGCUAUGCUUUGUGUGAUUUGGGUGCUAGUGUUUCCACGAUUCCAAAGACUUUGUGUGAUUUGUUAGGUUUCCGUGAUUUUGAUAAUUGCUCUUUAAACUUGCACCUUGCGGAUUCCACUAUUAAGAAACCUAUGGGUAGAAUUAAUGAUGUUUUUAUUGUUGCAAAUAGUAAUUAUGUGCCCGUAGAUUUUAUCGUUCUUGAUAUAGAUUGCAAUCUUUCAUGUCCUAUUAUUCUUGGUAGACCUUUCCUUAGAACGAUUGGUGCAAUUAUUGAUAUGAAGGAAGAAAAUAUUAGAUUCCAAUUUCCGCUAAGGAAAGGCAUGGAACACUUUCCUAGAAAUAAAAUUAAAUUACCUUAUUAAUCUAUUAUGAGAGCCACUUAUGGAUUGCCUACCAAAGAUGACAAUACCUAAAUCUAUCCUUGCCUUUUAUGCCUAGCUAGGGGCGUUAAACGAUAGCGCAUGUUGGGAGGCAACCCAAUUUUAUUUUUAUUCCUUGCUUUUUGCUCCUGUUUAGUAAUAAAUAAUUUAUCUAGCCUCUUUUUUGGUUGUGUUUUUGUGUUUAAUUAGUGUUUGUGCCAAGUAGAACCGUUGGGAAGACUUGGGGAAAGUCUUGUUAAUCUUGCUGUAAAAAACAGAAACUUUAGCGCUCACGAGAACUGAUGCCUUUUUUAUUUGGAAAGUGAUAUUUAGUUAAUUAUUUUUGAAUAUGAUUAAUCGAUAAAUUCCUCACGUCCAGCAAUUUAUUUUAGAAUUUUUGGGGUUCCAGAUCUUGCGCUAGCUACAGAUUACUACAGACUGUUCUGUUUUUGACAGAUUCUGUUUUUCGUGUGUUGUUUGCUUAUUUUGAUAAAUCUAUGGCUAGUAAAAUAGUUUAUAAACCAUAUAGAAGUUGGAAUACAGUAGGUUUAAUACCAAUAUAAAUAAAUAAUGAGUUCAUUACAGUAACUUGAAGUGGUCUUUUGUUUUCUUUCGCUAACGGAGCUCACGAGAUUUUCUAUUUUAAGUUUUGUGUUUUGAAGUUUUCAAGUUUUGGGUAAGGAUUAGAUGGAUUUUGGAACAAGGAGUGGAAAGAGCCUAAGAUUGGGGAUUCCCAUGUAACCCCCAAGAUAAUCUAAGGACACCAAAAAGCCAAAGCUUGGGGAUGCCCCGGAAGGCAUCCCCUCUUUCGUCUACUUCUAUCGGUAACUUUACUUGGAGCUAUAUUUUUAUUCACCACAUGAUAUGUAUUUUUCUUGGAGAGUCUUGUAUGAUUUGAGUCUUUUCUUUCUAGUUUACCACAAUCAUCUUUGCUGUACACACCUUUUGAGAGAGACACACAUGAUUCAGAAAUUAUUAGAAUACUCUAUGUGCUUCACUUAUAUCUUUUGAGUUAUAUAGUUUUGCUCUAGUACUUCACUUAUAUCUUUUAAGAGCACGGUGGUGGAUUUGCUUUAUAGAAACUAUUGAUCUCUCAUGCUUCACUUAUAUUAUUUUUAGAGUCUUAAAUAGCAUGGUAAUUUGCUUAAAUAAUCCUAAUAUGCUAGGUAUUCAAGAUUAAUAAUAAAACUUGCUUAUGAGUGUGUUGAAUACUAAGAGAAGUUUGAUACUUGAUAAUUGUUUUGAGUAUGGAGAUGGUGAUAUUAGAGUCAUGAUAGUUGAGUAGUUGUGAAUUUGAGAAAUACUUGUGUUAAAGUUUGUGAUUCCCGUAGCAUGCACGUAUGGUGAACCGUUAUGUGAUGAAGUCGGAGCAUGAUUUAUUUAUUGAUUGUCUUCCUUAUGAUUGGCGGUUGGGGACGAGCAAUGGUCUUUUCCUACCAAUCUAUCCCCCUAGGAGCAUGCGCGUAAUACUUUGCUUUGAUAACUUUUAGAUUUUUGCAAUAAGUAUAUGAGUUCUUUAUGACUAAUGUUGAGUCCAUGGAUUAUACGCAAUCUCACCCUUCCACCAUUGCUAGCCUCUCUAAUACCGCGCACCUUUCGCCGGUAUCAUACACCCACCAUAUACCUUCCUCAAAACAGCCACCAUACCUACCUAUCAUGGUAUUUCCAUAGCCAUUCCGAGAUAUAUUGCCAUGCAACUUUCCACCGUUCCGUUUACUGUGACACACUCCAUCAUUGUCAUAUUGCUUCACAUGAUCAUGUCAUUGACAUUUUAGUUGUGGCAAAGCCACCGUUCAUAAUUCUUUCAUACAUGUCACUCUUGAUUCAUUGCAUAUCACGGUACACCGCUGGAGGCAUUCACAUAGAGUCAUAUUGUGUUCUAAGUAUUGAGUUCUAACUGUUGAGUUGUAAGUAAAUAAAAGUGUGAUGAUCAUCAUUAUUAGAGCAUUGUCCCAAGUGAGGAAAGGAUGAUGAAGACUAUGAUUUCCCCACAAGUCGGGAUGAGACUCCGGACGAAAAAAAAA